GAUUAGCUAGUUGGUGGGGUAAUGGCUCACCAAGGCGACGAUCCGUAACUGGUCUGAGAAGAUGAUCAGUCACACUGGAACUGAGACACGGUCCAGACUCCUACGGGAGGCAGCAGUGGGGAAUAUUGGACAAUGGGCGAAAGCCUGAUCCAGCCAUGCCGCGUGUGUGAAGAAGGUCUUCGGAUUGUAAAGCACUUUAAGUUGGGAGGAAGGGCAGUAAGCUGAUACCUUGCUGUUUUGACGUUACCGACAGAAUAAGCACCGGCUAACUCUGUGCCAGCAGCCGCGGUAAUACAGAGGGUGCAAGCGUUAAUCGGAAUUACUGGGCGUAAAGCGCGCGUAGGUGGUUUGUUAAGUUGGAUGUGAAAGCCCCGGGCUCAACCUGGGAACUGCAUCCAAAACUGGCAAGCUAGAGUACGGUAGAGGGUGGUGGAAUUUCCUGUGUAGCGGUGAAAUGCGUAGAUAUAGGAAGGAACACCAGUGGCGAAGGCGACCACCUGGACUG
rnacentral:rRNA from 1 species